CCAAAAAUUCCACUGAAUUCCCAUCAUGGAUCAGUGGUGAUGAACCCAACUACUAUCCAUGAAAACUCGGGUUUGAUCCUUGGCCUUGCUUAGUGGGUUAAGGAUCCAGCAUUGCCAUGAGCUGUAGUGUAGGUCACAGAUGAGGCUCAGAUCUUGUGUUGCUGUGGCCAUGGUGUAGGCCAGCAGCUACAGCUCUGAUUCAAACCCCUAGCCUGGGAACUUCCGCACGCCUCAGGUGCAGCCCUAAAAAGACCAAAAAAAAAAAAGAGAAUUUUAAGAUAAUGACAGCAGAGCAUUAGGUCAAGAACAAGCCCUUUCUGUGAGUUCCUGAUGGUCUGGUUGGUUAGGACUUGGUGCUUUCAACGCUGUGGCCUAGAUUCAACUCCUGGUCUGGGAACUGAGAUCCAGACAUCAAGCCGCUAUACACCAUGGCCAAAAAUAAAAUAACAAGGCCUUUCUGAGGAUGGGUACUACAGAGGUCACAUGCCCAUAAAGUGGUCUCCGACCACCUACUCUUAAUUGUAAGCUUGCCCUCUCCCCUGGGGAUACUGUUUCUAAUGCACCUCUGCAAUACAAAGGCCAGCUUAUUCUCCCAUAUUUCAAGAUUAAAGGUGGGUUGCUAUUUUGCUCCUCUUCCCAGUGCCCUUUGCAAAUCAUUACUCUUCUAUCUUCUUUGUAAAAAAAAGAAAAAAAAAAAAAAAAAAAAACAAAACCUCUUUUCCUUUGCUAUCUUGCUGCACUGUAAUUCAACUUUCAUCAUAGCUGUCAUCUUCCAACUUACUCAUUACUCCUCCUAUUUUACUGAUGGCUUUGACAUCUGGCUCUUAAAAUUCCUCCUCACUGCAAGUCCUUGACUCAAGUGUAAGAGGAAUAAGAGGACAGACACUGGAUAGAAUGAGACUUCCUGGGUUGAAGUCUUGGUACUACCAUAUAGUGGGUAUGUUGCCUUGGCCAUGUUCCUUAACCUUUCUUUUCCUGAGUUUCCUCAUUUAUAAAAUAAAGAUGGUAAUAGAACCUCAUAGGAUUUGUUGUAUAGAUAAAAGGGUUAAUUCAUGUAAAGGGCUCAUAACGGUAGCUGACACAUAGUAGGUAUUAAUUAAACAUUAGCUAUUGCUGCUAUCAUCCUUAUUAAAGACUAUCUCAAUGUCUACAUGGAUAACUUGUUCAGUAUGUUCUUUGAGCUCCUUGUCACCAACAGAUAUCUUGUCCACUCUACCCCAGCAACUCUCUUCCAUAACUUCACCCUAGAUCCUGUAAUCACCAGAACUUCUACCUUCAAAAUCUUUUUUAUGUUUUGUUUUGCUUUUCUUUUCAGGGUCGCACCUGGGGCAUAUGGAAGUUCUCAGGGUAGGGGUUGAAUCAGAGCUACAGCUGCCAGCCUACAUACACCACAGCCACAGUAACUUGGGAUCCAAGCUGUAUGUGCGAAGUACACUACAGCUCACGGCAACACCAGAUCCCCAACCCACUGAGUGAGGCCAGGGAUCGAAGCCACGUCCUCAUGGAUACUAGCUGGAUUUGUUUCUGUUGCCCCACAAUGGGACUCCCAACCUCCAAAAUCUUAAAUUCAAAUAUCCCAUAUUCUGAUAACUACUUCCUAUCCAUCCUACACAUUUACCUGUGCCCCUAUAUCUGCUUUCUCUCACUGAAACCUCUGAAUGUCAAACUCCUCUACUGCAUCUCUGUCACCCCUUCCUGCCUUUGCCUCUUUUUCUUUCUUCUUAUACUCUCCUUUUUAUCCACUCUCUUGACAACAACCUGUCUUCACGCCCCAAUUUCCUUCUAUACAAAACUGGCAAGGUUCUAAUCACGGAUGAAUCAAACUAUCAGCCUUCUUGAAAGGGUUGCUGAGAGCUACUGAGAAGAAUCAUACAACUAUAAAGAUCAGUGCCACUGUUGUAAAUUCAGUCUCCAUCUUCAAGCUAUCCAGAAAUUUUCUAUCUUCUACCCCUUACAAUGGUCAUUUCAGACCUUUACACUCUCAAAACCUCUCAUUUUCCUGCCUAUUACCUAUCUACCCCCACUUCACCUUCCUUCUAAAGGUGUGGUGGUUCUCUUGCCUGAAGAGCCUCCUGUUUGAUUGUCCCAUGUACAUUCUUGUACUCCUUCUACUCUCAGUAAAUGAUCUAUCCCAUUUGUUU
rnacentral:tRNA from 1 species